AGAGUUUGAUCCUGGCUCAGGAUGAACGCUAGCUACAGGCUUAACACAUGCAAGUCGAGGGGCAGCAUGGUCUUAGCUUGCUAAGGCCGAUGGCGACCGGCGCACGGGUGAGUAACGCGUAUCCAACCUGCCUUACACUCUUGGACAGCCUUCUGAAAGGGAGAUUAAUACAAGAUGUUAUCAUGAGUAAGCAUUUUCGCAUGAUUAAAGGUUUACCGGUGUAAGAUGGGGAUGCGUUCCAUUAGAUAGUAGGCGGGGUAACGGCCCACCUAGUCUUCGAUGGAUAGGGGUUCUGAGAGGAAGGUCCCCCACAUUGGAACUGAGACACGGUCCAAACUCCUACGGGAGGCAGCAGUGAGGAAUAUUGGUCAAUGGACGAGAGUCUGAACCAGCCAAGUAGCGUGAAGGAUGAAGGUUCUAUGGAUUGUAAACUUCUUUUAUACGGGAAUAAACGAAUCCACGCGUGGAUUUUUGCAUGUACCGUAUGAAUAAGGAUCGGCUAACUCCGUGCCAGCAGCCGCGGUAAUACGGAGGAUCCGAGCGUUAUCCGGAUUUAUUGGGUUUAAAGGGAGCGUAGAUGGGUUGUUAAGUCAGUUGUGAAAGUUUGCGGCUCAACCGUAAAAUUGCAAUUGAUACUGGCAGUCUUGAGUACAGUUGAGGUAGGCGGAAUUCGUGGUGUAGCGGUGAAAUGCUUAGAUAUCACGAAGAACUCCGAUUGCGAAGGCAGCUUACUAACCUGUAACUGACAUUGAUGCUCGAAAGUGUGGGUAUCAAACAGGAUUAGAUACCCUGGUAGUCCACACGGUAAACGAUGAAUACUCGCUGUAGGCGAUAUACAGUCUGCGGCCAAGCGAAAGCAUUAAGUAUUCCACCUGGGGAGUACGCCGGCAACGGUGAAACUCAAAGGAAUUGACGGGGGCCCGCACAAGCGGAGGAACAUGUGGUUUAAUUCGAUGAUACGCGAGGAACCUUACCCGGGCUUAAAUUGCAACCGAAUAUGGCGGAAACGCUAUAGCUAGCAAUAGCGGUUGUGAAGGUGCUGCAUGGUUGUCGUCAGCUCGUGCCGUGAGGUGUCGGCUUAAGUGCCAUAACGAGCGCAACCCUUGCCGAUAGUUACUAACAGGUUAUGCUGAGGACUCUGUCGGGACUGCCAUCGUAAGAUGUGAGGAAGGUGGGGAUGACGUCAAAUCAGCACGGCCCUUACGUCCGGGGCUACACACGUGUUACAAUGGGGGGUACAGAGGGCUGCUACCACGCAAGUGGAUGCCAAUCCCAAAAACCUCUCUCAGUUCGGAUUGAAGUCUGCAACCCGACUUCAUGAAGCUGGAUUCGCUAGUAAUCGCGCAUCAGCCACGGCGCGGUGAAUACGUUCCCGGGCCUUGUACACACCGCCCGUCAAGCCAUGGGAGCCGGGGGUACCUGAAGUGCGUAACCGCAAGGAGCGCCCUAGGGUAAAACUGGUGACUGGGGCUAAGUCGUAACAAGGUAGCCG
rnacentral:rRNA from 1 species